rnacentral:rRNA from 1 species
GACGAACGCUGGCGGCGUGCUUAACACAUGCAAGUCGAACGGAAAGGCCCUGCUUUUGUGGGGUGCUCGAGUGGCGAACGGGUGAGUAACACGUGAGUAACCUGCCCUUGACUUUGGGAUAACUUCAGGAAACUGGGGCUAAUACCGGAUAGCAGCUCCUGCUGCAUGGUGGGGGUUGGAAAGUUUCGGCGGUUGGGGAUGGACUCGCGGCUUAUCAGCUUGUUGGUGGGGUAGUGGCUUACCAAGGCUUUGACGGGUAGCCGGCCUGAGAGGGUGACCGGCCACAUUGGGACUGAGAUACGGCCCAGACUCCUAUGGGAGGCAGCAGUGGGGAAUAUUGCACAAUGGGCGGAAGCCUGAUGCAGCAACGCCGCGUGCGGGAUGACGGCCUUCGGGUUGUAAACCGCUUUCGCCUGUGACGAAGCGUGAGUGACGGUAAUGGGUAAAGAAGCACCGGCUAACUACGUG